rnacentral:tRNA from 1 species
ACCUGGCUGGCUCAGUUGGUAGAUAAUGAGACUCUUGAUCUCAAGGUCGUGAGUUUGAGCCCAUGUUAGGUA